UUUAUUUCCAUAUAUUAGAAAAAUAUUUGGAGUAACCCUAAAAUUUUAGCCUUCUUCUUCCUCCUCUUUUCCUUCUCUUAAACAGAUCGAUAAUAAUGAUAACUAGCGGCUACCACCGGCCACCAAAUCCUGUUUAACCACUCUAGUUUAAUAUAUUCAAUACAGACAUCACAUGGUUGAGAUUAAUUUCCUCCCCUUGUUUUUUUAUUGUGAUUUUAUAAUUCUUAUUUUUCAUGUGACAUUCAUGGAGAAAUUGGGCGAAACUACAUAUCCAACAAGUAAACAAGGCAACAAAUCCUUCAAGAGAUCGAAGAAUAUGAUGAGUCUCCAGUAGUCAACUUCAACUCAAAGAACGAACUUCAGACUUCACUGUUGAGUAAGCCCAAUUUAGAUCUAAAAUGUACAGUGUGUAAUUUGAUCAAAAACCAUGGAUUUGUAGAAGUACUUUUGGUUCAAUUGUAAUGUUUUUUUCCUUGAA